rnacentral:rRNA from 1 species
AACGAACGCUGGCGGCAUGCCUAACACAUGCAAGUCGAACGAGACCUUCGGGUCUAGUGGCGCACGGGUGCGUAACGCGUGGGAACCUGCCUUUAGGUUCGGAAUAACUCAGAGAAAUUUGAGCUAAUACCGGAUAAUGUCUUCGGACCAAAGAUUUAUCGCCUUUAGAUGGGCCCGCGUUGGAUUAGCUAGUUGGUGGGGUAAAGGCCUACCAAGGCGACGAUCCAUAGCUGGUCUGAGAGGAUGAUCAGCCACACUGGGACUGAGACACGGCCCAGACUCCCACGGGAGGCAGCAGUGGGAAUAUUGGACAAUGGGCGAAAGCCUGAUCCAGCAAAGCCGCGUGAGUGAUGAAGGCCUUAGGGUUGUAAAGCUCUUUACCCGAGAUGAUAAUGACAGUAUCGGGAGAAUAAGCUCCGGCUAACUCCGUGCCAGCAGCCGCGGUAAU